AAUUACAAUCACAACGACUCACUCAGUCACACACACCAGCCCUAACCCUACCUAAGCUAUCAAACGCCAAUGCCGCUGCCGCUGUCAAAUCGAUUCAAGUGCUCCGGCGCUGAGUCUAGCCGUCCUUGAGCCGAUUUGCUUCCUUUUUCUGCCGCCGCUGUCAAUCUCUGCCAUUCUUGAGCCGAUUCACUUCCGCAAAACAGCUGCUGUCAUCUCUGCCGACAUUGCCUCUGUGUUCGUUCACCGUCAGAUGCAGGGUUAUUGUGGUGACACUGCCUCCGCUGUCGACUUCCUUCCCUCUUCAUUCUCCGUCUGAAGUUCAACUUUCUUGUAGGUGGAAGUUGCUCGGUUCUUAACAGCAGUUCUCACUGGAGAUUUUAAGUUCCUUCGACAUCUUGUGGGUAGAUAGAUAUUGCUUAGAUAUCGUAUUUUUUCCUUUUGUUGGUUCUCACUUUUGUUCUGACCUUCUUGCAGGACAUAUCCAACAGGGAAGGUUUAGCUUCUGAAGGUGACUGGUAUGACAGAUGUUUCAAUUCACGGUAAUGUUUCUGCUUCUGGAUUGGCUGUGCUGUUAUAAAUUCAUUGUUUUUUUAAUCAAAUUUCGGUGCAUGUUAUGCAGGAUCAUUCCUUUAAAGGAGGUCUCAGAAGAAAGGCCUGAUAUCUGUGUGCUGGCUGAGUUUCCAUCAGAAGGAAGGUUCGUUUUUUCUGAAAGUUUUAUGGUUGAGACUUAAACUUCAUCUGCUGUACGGCCAAGGCGGAUGUACGGUACAGCAGAUAUUUUCUUAAGUUUUUAACUUCUGAUAUUUGCUUUCUAUAAAUGAAGGUCGCUUUUGAGAAGGUUGCACCUUUACAACAUUGAAAGAAUGGAUAAUGCAUCACUGUCUAUGGCAUUGUCUGCCUGCCCAUCUCUCCUUGAUCUAGAAAUUGUUGGCCUGUAAGUUUCUUUAGGCUGGGUUUUCCUUGUAUACAUUUCCUUUGGUUUUAAGAAGGUUGCACCUUUAUAGCAUUCUGCUGUACCGUACAUCCGCCUUGCCGUACAGCAGUAUUUUAUUAAAUAUUAUUUAUUUAUUUUUAUUUUUAUUUUAAGGAUAAAAUGGGAAGAGGGGGGAGUGGAUUCCCACUCCCCACUCCAAAAUUGAGUGGGACCCACGGAUUCCCACUCCCACUCCCCCCUUUUUUAAGGCAAGUAAACACUGGAGUGGGAGGAAUCCACACUCCACACUCCCACUCCAGAAAGUAAACACUACCUAAGUGGAGUUUACUUAUUUGUUAAAAAAAUAAAUUUUAAAUUAUUAAUGAUUUAAUUGUCUUAUGCUUAUUAUAUUGUUCGUAAAAUUUUUGUUACAAGUCCAGCCCAUGAACCUCUUUAUAUUUUAGCAUUUCUUUAUUUAUUUACGAAACGAAAACCAGCGUUCGGAUUCAAAAGGAACAAAACAGAAAAAGGAAGAAAGGAAACAAGAGGAUAACAGGACGUGAGAGAGGAGAAGAGGGAGAAAGAAGAGAAAGACAAGAGAGGCUAGGUGAAGGAUUUGGAUUUAAAGAAAGAGAAUUCAAUUUCAGAGCAAAAUAUUAAAUAUCUGGCUUUUUAAAUUUGUAAGCCUUCUUUCUCAGUUCACUUUAUUCUUUUAUUUUUCUUCAAAAUUCUUGUUUAAAUUGGCAUGCAUGUUGAUGUUGUUAAGUCAUUUCUAAAUUAACUUGCAUGCAUGAUUAAAAUUCUGUUUAUUUAGGUAUUAUGUCAUUGAAAUUAGUCUCUUUUCCCAUGCUUGUUUCAAGUUCCAAUUCUUAUUUGAAAAAAAAAAAAAAAUUCGCUGUUUGUGCCAUAAUCUGUUUUGGGUAUUAAAGUUGAUACUACCUAGCAAAUUCUAAACUGUAAUGGCUGAUUUCUUCUCUUAUUUUUGUUUAAUCUAUUCAAAUUCAUGUAUAAAUUUUACAGGCGUUAGAUAUUUGUCUAAUUAUCAUGUAUGUGUUAAAUUCAUUUUGGGUGAAUUUUCAUACUAUUUAAUCAAGUUCAAAGUUACAUGGGUUUGGCCAAUUAUCACAUAAUCUCUUCUUUGACUAUUUGAUUAGAUUUUUGUUCAUGCGUGGCUUAAUUAAUUUCAAAAUCUUCUUACUUAUAAAGCAUUAAUAUCUUUUGCAAUUAAAUUCUCUAAAUUUUCCUGGCUGCUGUAUGAACAACUCUAGUUUUUUUUCCUUAAAUAAAUUUGUUUGAAUUCUAAUUAAUACUUUAAUUUAAUGGAUUAUAAUUUAAAUCUUGCAGCAGAUUAUAAUUUAUGGUGCUAAUGGUAUUUUUUUUAUUUAAUCCAUUGUUUUGUUCUUCAGGCUAUUGAUCCUAGGACUUGCAUGGUUUUAUUCAAAAUGCUAAAUUGGGUUGCAUUCCAGUGGCUGUAUUUUGACGGGAAAAGAAGUAUGUAGUGCUACUCUUCUUUUUGAUUUUUUUGAUUUUAUUGUCAUUAUUAUUUAGCUUAACGGCAACCCAAUUCACUGUGGGCCGCUGCUGUACCGUACAUCCGCCUUGGCCGUACAGCAGUAAGGAUUCAGUUUCUGAAGGGCAAGCUUGCUGGCUGGGUAUAAAUGUUCCAAGUGCCAAUCCCACCUUAUGUAAGCACAAAAUAUAGUCUCCAUUUCCUUUUUGGAUUAUAUUUGUUUGUAUAGUUAUAUGAUACUGGAUUUUAAUUUAAGAAUUUGUGCAGUACAUUUUUUUACUGUUAGGAGUUAGUUUGAUCAAGGUUAUUUAAGUACUAAACUGUUAUAAUUGAGCUUGCAUGCAUUUAAAUUUUUUUAUAUGUAAAUGACAAUUAUAUCAAUGUGUAAUGUAAAUUGAAAUUUGCCAAUGUGGCUUCAAUUGGACAGUUUAGAAUGUGAAAACAACUAUCUAAAUUUUAAUUUAAAAAAACAAUUGAAGUAUAGUAAUUUUAAAUUGUUAUCUUUUUUUAUUUUUACUCGUGCAAAAGAUGACGGUUCUUAUAUAAGAACAAUCAUUAAAGAACGAUAUAAGAUGACUGUUAUGAUACAAAACCGUCAUUAAAAUUUGAUAUUUAAUGACGGUUAUUAAAAAACUUUCAUUGAAAAUAUAUAUGUAAUGACGAUUAUUAAAAAAAUCUGUCAUUAAAAAUAUAUAUUUAAUGACGGUUAUUAAAAACCCGUCAUUAAAAGUAUAUAUUUAAUGACAGUUGUUGGCAAAAAACCGUCAUUAAAACUUAUGUACCUAUAGCAUAUAAUGACGGUUUAUUACAAUAACUGUCAUAAUAAGUAGACAUUUAAUGACGGUUUUUAAACCGUCAUAAAAAAUGUACCCCUUUAAAUGUUGCUGCCUAAGAUGACGGUUUUAAAACUGUCAUCUUAUGUCUUUUAAAACUGUCAUUAAAGGCCAAUUUUGUAGUCCUGUAUGAUCUUGAAAAAAGAACACGUACAUACUGAUAUUGCCAUAGAUAAGCUUAAAGGUCUUAUUUCUUUCUUUGAAAGCCAUAGAAAAGAUGGAUUCAUGUUUGCUGUGAUUUCAGCAAGUGAAAUGGAAAUAGAAUCUAAAUUUCAUGAAAAAAAGUAUAAUUUGUAGAAAAAGAAACAAAUUUAAUGAAAAUGUUAGUGAAGAGGAAAUGUUGUCUGUUGAAGAGUCCUUUAGAAUUAAUUAUUUUAUUUAUAUAGUAGAUCAAGUUAUUUCUACAAUAAGUUAUUUGAAAUUAUUCACAUAUAUGAUAAUAUGGUUGGAUUUUUGUUUAAUUUCAAAAAAUUACAAUCGUUAAAUGACACUACGUUUUAAAUAUUUAUUAUGUUAAUCUCGAAAAUACUUUAAAACAUGCUACACUUUCUGAUAUAGAUGGUGCAUAUUUAUUUUAAGAGUUGAGAUUUUAAAUGAAGUAUUUCAAGGUAAAAAAAAUACUAAUUAAUUAUUUGAAAACAAAUUGAUUCUUUCUCAAAUGCAUAUAUUGCAUAUAGAAUAUUAUUAAUAGUACUUGUUUCUGUAGAAAGAAGUUUUUAAAAUUAAAAUUUAUAAAAACAUAUUUAGAAUUAACAAUCUCGCAAGAGAGAACAAAUGAAUUAGCUAUAUUGAUUAUUGAGAGAAAUAUAUUCAUGAAAUUAGAACAUAAAAAUUUAAUUAAUAAUUUUGCAUUUCAGAAAGCUAGAAUAAAUUGAUCUUAAAUAAAUAAAAAUUUUAGUACAAUUCACCUACGACUUUAAAAAUUGGUUGAGUGGUUCUUGCCUACAAGACUUGCGAUGAUAAAGACACUAAAAUGUACAUUGUUAGACACAUGUAUUUCUUUCUUUUUUUUUAAUUUUUCAUCAGACCUAUCAAAUUGUAAUUUGAUGGUUAAUAAUUUUUUUCAUAUUGUGUCAAAAAAAAAAAAAAAAAAGAGAGGCUCCUCGAACAAGCCUCGCACCACUAGUCUAAGUUUGUAUGCGCAUGUGCUUAUGUACUGCACACUGAUAUACUAUGUUAUCAUUGUGUCAGAAAGGAAAGGCUCUGACUCCUCGACAUGCCCUAUACCAACUAGUCUAAAUUUUCAUAUGCAUGUGGCUCAUGUGCUACACUUUAGUGUAAUGCAGUAAAAUCAAGAAGAAAAAAAGUGAAAUAUGUUGUGUCUUUUCCGUGAGAAAUUCUAAAAUGCAUAAGAGAUAAAGAUUUUGCUAAGUUACUGCUGCUGUAACUUUCAAUUCCUUUAAUAAUCAGGGUCCAGCUACCAUGCCCCUCGGGGCAUGGUACUCGUUUUUUUUGUCAAUAUCCCGUGUAGCCGUUAGAUUAUAAAUAAUUUAAUCCAACGGAUGGGUUUGAAAGGGCUAAAAGUGAAUAACAGUGGGCUACCGUCGAAACCAGUUUCUUCCAGUUUGUUUGUUCGAAAUUAGUUUUAGGGUCUAUAAACCCUUAUUGGCCAUUUCGGGCGAUGACUGCAGUUUGUCGAACGCAAGGAAAUUGAAGUGCGCAAGGUGUAACUGCGGUUGGGGUAGCGCUUCCGUGUGCGAUUAUUGAAUUGGCUUGCAGUGCUUGCAACUUGUGGCGGCAGUAUUGAACGAGGCAGAAGGGAUUGGGUUAACACAAUUAAAGGUCAGUAUAAUUUGAAUUUCAGAUUAGAGAUAGGAAUCAUGUGUGGGUGAUAAAAGUGGAUGGUGGAAAUUUAACGUGUCGUUUGGACAAUUGGAAAUUUUGGGAGUAGAGGGCAAAAAAUGUAAAUUUAGAUUAAGGAUAUUUCCUGCACAUCGCGAUUGGUGGUUACGUUGAGAAAUUGAACCCAGUUGAAUUAAUGAAGUGUUGUGCAUAUAAAUGGUUCCAAAAUAUAUUUUGUACAACGAGUGAAAAAUUGAGGGGUUUCGGGCAAUAAAUAUAAAAAAUAAUUGGGGAUUAUUUAGCAGCAGUUUAAUGUGGCGUAUUUAAAGUAAUAGGAUGAAGAAGAAGGUUGGUGUUAUGUUGUGUAACUUGAUUGUGUUGCCGGCAAUUACUGUGCCUUUCUUGAACUUAGUCAUGACUAUGCAUUCGAAUAGAAUUUCAUAGAAGCACCAGACAUGUGACAUGUUAAUUAUCAAUUUCUACUGAAUUAUUAAGAUUUAGAUAAUAAAAGUUUUCAUUUGUAGCAUAGUAAAGGGAUUAAUUAAUUGAUUAGUAUUGUAUGGUUGUAAGUAUAAGCAAUGAGAACCCAAUGUAUGACAUUGAAUUCCACAGUAGCGUGGGUGUUAAUAAGUUAACAUUGAACAUGCGUGGACAAUUAGUAACAGGAAAAGUGAAAUUGAAGCAAAUAUUUAAAUGAUGUGAAUGAGAAGCAUGAAGCUGAUGACAUGGGGGUAAUGGUACAUGCACUAACUGAAUUUGUAUAUUGUUUUCGUGGAGUUGAUACGAAAUGUUUUUGUUAGUUUCGUUUGGGGCCGGUAAUGUAAAUGAUAUGUAUUUGUGUUAUGCAUUAGUAAGGUAUGUAUAUGUUGCUAUAAAACAUAUUUUGAUGGUUAGAAAUGGCAGUGUGACUGAAAUUCAGGAAUGAAGGUGGUGGGGACAAAUAAGCGUAAGGAAUGUGACAUUAACAGAGGGACUGAAGUGGUUGGUGUUGAUGCAAGCAAUGAUGGGGGAAGAAAAAGGCAGUGCCGCAAUGGGUUCAUAAGAUAUUUGUAAGCUAUGUUAAUGGAAAAAUAAAUAAAUGAACAUAGGACAGUAACAGUGGAGUGGUAAGUAUAGGUUUUGACUAAUUAUUUUGGUAUUGAUACGAUGAUAUUGCAGUGGUGAAGUUGUGCGUCAGAUUAAGGCAAAUGAUGGAAUGGCAUGCAUUACAAAAGAGGUUAGUAAAUUAGCAUUGUAGAAAUAAAGAAAUGGUAAUCGCCACCGGAUUAAUGUGUAGUGAGUUAAAUUGGGUUACCAUGAUUGUAUUGUAGAUUCGAAAAGAAAUAGGAUCCACGUAUAAGAAUUUGCCACCAGAGGAAAAGUGUCGGUAUAAAAGUGAGGCGAAACGAGUAGGGAAGUCAAAAAUUGGGAAGGCAAAGUUCCCCACCAGAUGUGCUCCAGAUAGAUUAGCUGCAGCAGUUUUACAACUUACAGAUGAACAAAGAGUAGUUGUUCGUGAAAUGGGCUUUGGUAGUUUGUUACAACUGAACUGUGGCAGGCUAAAGAGGAAUCUUUGUGGAUGGUUAGUUGAGAAGAUCGAUAUUGCGAGGUGCAUUUUACAGUUGAAUGGUGUUGAGGUGGAGCUAAGCCCGAAGAGUUUUAGUUAUGUAAUGGGCAUAUCAGAUGGGGGUAAGCCACUUCAGUUAGAAGGGGAGAGUUCUGAAGUAUGUGCAUAUGUAGACAAUUUUACCCCAACAUCAAGGGGUAUAAACAUAACGGUGUUGGCAGGAAUUUUGCAAAAGUUGAAGUCAGCGGAUGAUCAAUUCAAAGUGACAUUUAUGAUGUUUGCACUAUGUACUAUUUUAUGUCCCCCAGGAGGUGUGCAUAUAAGUUCUGGCUUUUUAUUUUCUUUAAAGGAUGUUGAAAGUAUUCCAAAAAGGAAUUGGGCGACGUUUUGCUUCCAUAGACUUAUUCAAGGGAUUACAAGACACAAGGAAGAACAGGUAGCGUACGUAGGAGGUUGUCUGCUAUAUCUACAGGUACUUUUUAAUUAUGGUAACAGUUGCAGCCAGUUCGCAACAUAUGAUAAUAUUAAUCAUGAAGUGUCGAAAGAUAUGUAAGUUAGGGUAGCAUAUUGAACAACUGUCAUGGUAGGCUGAAAAAAUCGAAAAAAAAUAGAUUAGAUGAAAUAGUUAGUGAAUACAUAUGAUCGAGGGCAGAAUUUAAUCCUCAUAUACAUAAAUGGACAUACAUGUGAGGAUUAAUGGUAAUUGAUCUGUAUAGAUCUGGACAGUUAUAGUAGUUUGGAAAUUAACUCGUUUGCAUUCAAACCGUAUGUAUUGUACCAUAAUCCCUGUAAGUGUUCGUUUGCAUGCAGAUGUUGUACUUCAACUCUAUUGUAUACGGAAAGCUGGAGAGGGAUAGGUCAAUGUGUCCGCUUGCUUUGUGGAAUGUAAACGAGAUAAAGAAGUUAAUGAAGUGGAUAGACAGCAAAGGAGGUUUUGAUAGCCAUCAGGUCAUAUAACUCGAAGCGAUAAGACAAUUGUUGGCUGUUUUUGCCAUUAACAUUUUGAAUAAUAAGUAUGAGUUGACGACCACUUGAUUGAGAAAACAAACAUCAUAUGCAUUAUAUAUCAUAUGAAAGUUGAUGAGGAUUAAAGGUUUAUAAAAUUAUCAGUGGUUGUCUUUUAGUUUUGCGAACCCCAUUUAUUAUGAGGUAAAAAAAUUUUUCGCAGGUGUCUAUCUCUUCCACGUCGAAAGAAGGCUGUCAAUUACAUUCACUCAGAAAAUUUCAGAAAGAAAAAUUUGGCAGUUUAAAUACGGAUGCAGCAAAUGAGACAUUUGUUAAGGUAGAUAAUGUGUCCAAUCUGGUUGAUGACGUAGCGGAGCUGGUGACCUUAUCUAGUAGGCUCGCAGGACAUGUAGAUAGGCUAAAGGCAGUUGGGUCGCGCACAAUGAAGGGAGGUGCUGAAAAAAUGAGGGAUUGUUCAGGGUAGAAUGUUAACCAGUUAUCAUAAUUGUCAUUAUUGUUUGUUAGCAUGCACAAUCACUUCUUCUACUUCUGUUAUGCUAUUUGUAAUCCUAAUAUAACUCUUUAUAUUUUAUAAGCACCUUCAUGCAAAAUUUAUCCCCACGGUUAAUGUUAUUCAACUAAUUGACUUACUCAAACUAUUUAUAUAUUACGUCAACUAUCCAGGUCUACAAAUUACAUUGAUCCAAAUAUAUUACACAUGAGGAAACCAAACGUGGUCACUGGAAAACUGCCAAUUCAGCAGUUAUUAGUUGAAGGCGAUGGUGGAAAUAAUACCCUGGAUGACAAUUAUCGUCGAUAUCCAGCAACACAAGUCAUGGCUGCAUCACCAGAAUAUUGCUCAUGCAAUGCACAUGAUGAUGCCAGAUUUGAGCAUGGCAAAUUAUCAAAAGAUCGAACCACUACCCUUAUAAAAAGGAGAAGGACAAUGAGACAACUUUUUACUGCUACACAAUCUCAAGGCCAUACUGGGACUACCAGUUUCACACCUAAUACAGGUCAAAGGUUUCAACCACAUGUUAAAUGUUGUGCUGCUUCCGACAAAGUAUACGAUGAUGGCCGAAAUGUUGUUCCUGACAUAGCUUAUGAUGAUUACGAGCUUGAAGGAUAUGCUUCAGAUACUGACAAGAUGACACUUUACAGUUCUCCACAAACUGAUGAAGGUGAUUUUACAGGGGAUGGAUUUUUAUUCGAAAAUGUGUCUAACAAGAUGAUCAUUCAAUUGGGUCAUCAUUUUAAGGACGUGUUCCAAUUUAGAAGAGCUGUUGAAGUUUUUGCAAUACGAGAAGGAUUUAAACUAUGCAUUAUGGAGAAUAGGAGUGAUUAUGUUAGUUGCGAGUGUUCUGCAUUAUACUGUGAUUGGAAAAUCACUGCAUCAGCUGAUUCAAGUGGUCGUACAUUUGCAGUAACCGAAUUCGUUAAUGCUCACAAGUGCAGCAGGUCUGCUACAGAGUUUUAUGACAAUCCAAAGUGGAUUGCCGCAAUGUUCUUUCAUACUUGGAAACAACAACCAAACCUUCAGCCGUAUGUCAUACAGAAACAAAUUGCAUCCAGAUACAAUGUGUCAUGCCCUCUUCCCAAACUACACGAAGCUUCAAAACGUGCAAAGGCAUUACUUGAUAUUGAUCACACGGAUGGAUAUUUAGAUAUAUAUCAGUACAUUGAGGAAAUGAAAAAGCUCCAUAACCGGAAUACAGUUAUUUUGGAGACUGAAAAUAAUGAAGCUGUUGGUGAUGCCACUUUCAACAGACUGUUUGUCUGCUUUGCUGAACCUGCUUAUGCAUUCAAGUAUGAAUGUUGCAAGAUGCUUUUUGUUGAUGGUUGGAAACUUAAAGGACCGUAUGAAAGUGUAAUGUUGGUGGCUGCAACUAUUGAUGGAAAUGAUGGCAUUCUCCCUAUAUCGUUCUGUGAGGUGCUUCAUGAGGACAUAGAUUCAUGGGUAUUUUUCUUGACCAAUCUUACAAAAGCUUUGAAAAUGGAACAUGGCGAAGGUCUCUGCAUUCUAACGGAUGGCGAAAAUGGUCUUGAUUAUGUCUGCGAAGAGUACCUCUUUCGCGGGGAGAUAAGACAUUGUUGCCGAAAUAUUUUCACCAAAAUGGUCAAAACUUUUCCGGAUGCACCUGUUCAACACUUAUUCUGGGCUGCUUGCCGUAGUGCUUCCAGUUACAAGUUCAACAACUACAUGAAAUUGAUAACGGAUGAAAGUGAAGAGUGUCAUGCUUGGUUAAUGGGUACAAAUUGGAACCAAUGGGCAUUGCAUUGCAUGCCUAACUGGGUUAAAAGUAACCACGUCACACUUAUGGUCACUGAACGUCUUCGCCGAUUCAUGAAAAGAUACUUGCACCUGAGCAUUACUCACAAGUUUACUGGAUUGACAAAUGCAACUGCUUAUCUUUUUGAGCAUCGAAGACUUCAAGGGUGGGAGUGGAUUUACCAGCGAAUUACCCCAACUGUCACAAACAUAAUUCAACAUCAUCUUAUUGAAGCCCGCUACCUGGCCGUGCAAAAUAAUAACGGCACUAUUUCAGGUGUUACGGAUGCUGCUUCUACUUUGUACGAGGUGGACAUGCAAAGAAAGCUUUGCAGUUGUGGCUUCUGGCAGAAGUCAGGUGUUCCAUGCGCACACGCAUGCAAGUGUAUUCUACAAAAGGCUGAAAAGAUCGAUGACUUUGUUGACAAAAUGCGGACAAUCUCUCAAUAUAGGGAUACUUAUGGACCGGGAAUGAAUUCACUGCCAAAUGAUUUUCCAUGGAAGUCCCAUGUUUCCACUGUUUUGCUCCUUCCUCCUCGUGCACAUGCCACAAUUGUACAGGACCCGCCUUACCCUAUUCCUCAUACAAAAUAGGUAAAAUUUCCAAGUUUCUUCUAAUAUAUAUUGUCCACACUAUGCAUUUAUUUCAAAUAUUUUUCUCAAAACAACCCUUUUGGUUUACUAUUUCACAUUGUUUAACCGUUUCAGAUCAGUCCUUAUUCGGCCACAACAGAACUUACUGGACAUGACUUCUUCCACCUACCAUCAAGCAGCAAUGAUGAAGAUUCAAUAAGUAAGUCUUUCUUUUUCUUUUUCAUAGUCUGAUACUAUGAAGUCCAAUUGUUAGGGAUAUCAAUCGACUUUACAAGUUCUUGAGCCAACUAUUGCCACAAUUUCAUUUUAAACAGAUAUGACUCAUAUCAUUGCAACCCAACUUUCAAGUGCGCACAAUAUUAUUUACCCUACAUUCAUUACUUGGAUAUUAUAAUAUUCAUCAUAUCCCACCUUAACAUUGGCAUUUGCACGCGCAUUGCUAACUAUAUACUAAAUAUAAUCACUGCAACCGACGAUAUUUCCUUUACUUCUCUGCAUCUUGUACUUAUUUUUAUGCAAUUUUCAGUACAUACCCCUACAUUUAUUUCACACAAUUUUCUCCAUCACAAGCCUUGCACACAAGCUUCAGCAAUUCUUAUUUCAUGUAAAUUCUACUUCUACUGUUUGUCUCCGCUAUUUGUAUUAAUACGUCCUAUGCAUGCAUAAGGCAAUAAUUUUAGGGUUUCACGGUAACCAAUUGUAUUUGUUGGUGUGACAGGGUAUUCGAUUGGUUGUUAAUCCUUACUUAUCUUCGGGUUCGGUUACUUGUGCGAAUCGUAUUUUUAAUUCGUUGUAACACCAUGACGUACAUAAUUUGUCUUCUCAUAUACAAUGAUUUAAUAUUUCACCUUCACGACAAAUCUCUUAGGGAUAUGAUAAAUCGUUCCACCACAUUACCUGCUCAUUAAUUGGUAACAUGCACUUCCUCCAUGAUUGCGGGUCUAUUAAUAUUUCAUUCACCCUAUGCAUUUCAACAUUCAAUUCCACGUGAAUUAUUUACAUAUGCAUGUACGAGCUCUUCCUUUGAUAUAAGUAAGUUAGUUGCAUUGUCAUUCAUACUUGACUUCUCAUUUAAAGGUUUCCUUUUCUCAUGUUGCAGCCCUGUAGCGGUGACUCUAGAGGGACAUGGCCUUUUGAUACCUAUGGUGUGCUGUGUCCUCCACAAUUGUCGCCAUCAAACGAACUCCACCAGCCACGAAACUUAUCCAUAUUUUGUCUGCUCCUAUAUUUAGUUAUUGCAAACUUUCAUCCACUAUAACUGUAUUUUGCUAUCAAUUAAUAGAUGUUAUUAACAUCCUACAACAUUGUGCAAGUUUCACGAUAAUGUGUUUCCAACUUAUGUACUUUACCUCUUAUGUCGACAUUGCAGCUUAUAUUUUGUUCUCCUCCUGCUAGCACCUGCAAUACAAUUAUUUUCUCCAUAUUUCAAAUUUGUUCCUUCUAUUUUCAAUAUCCCUGAUCCAUUUCUCCCUUUCCUUUGUGUUUGUGGCAUUAUUUUCUUUAUUUCAAUUAUGCUCACUUCUAGUUUUAAUCUUGCUCAACUUUGCUGUUAACUUACUGGCUUCAACUUGACCAUAUUGCUUCCAUUCUACCAUAGGUUAUUCUUUAAUCAAAUAAUCUAUUUUACUGAUGUUGGUCGUUUCCUCCUCUGCGUCUUAACUGACUACUCCAUUUUCUUCAUAGUUAUGUUUAUUUUUAAUUAAUUCAUUACUACUAUAAUUAACAUCAGUUAAUCUCAUUAUUUCUUCCUUGCUGUAGUCUUACUUUCACAUGGCUUCGGUCACAAUUGACAUUAUUAAAAAAGGGGUAAUUUUUUAAUCGUCUUUUUAUAUAUGCUUGCUACUACAAAUACUUCUUCCCUCAAACGAUUUUUUGUUAUAUACACCAACUUUUCUUCUUUCCUUUAACGCAUUUAUUGCAACAUUAAUAGUUCAUUUCAUCAUUUAUAUUGACUGCCUCUCCCGAUUUCUUUAAUCUGCUGCGUGCCAACUCCUUACACGUCCGAUUUUUCUCUUUUUCAUCCAACGGCUAGGUCACUACCUGACAAAGCAAGGGGGUUCCGUGCCCAAGGGGGUUCCGUGAUAAUCAUAUGGGUCCUACCACCUAUGACAACUAUUUACAUUAUUUUGAAAGGUUGUAAGUUACAGUAGUUGUAACUUAGUAGCACCCAAGACAUAAUAUAAUCAAUUAAUACAUAUAUGACAUGUGUAUUUAAAUUUUAUAUAACCACUAAUUACUUGUCGGUUCUUCAAAAUAAAUACACUUAAUUAUUUACUUAUUGCAUAGAUGAUAUGGUACUUUAGAGGUAUUCUAAAAUAUCUCUUAUGCCCUUCUGUUCAUUUUCAACUACUAGUCAAUGAAGUGGCAUUUUACAUGCUGAUAUGGUGCCUCGCAAAAACUCUUCUGUUUCGAGAUUGAUGAUCCCAUGGAAAUGGUACAAGUAUCUCUUCUAAUGGUAUUUUACAGGUUGUUGAUGAAAAGUUGCAUGUGUUUUAGAAGACUAAUGGUAUUUGCAUUUUACUUGCAAAUUCUAGUAAAAUCGGCUAUACAUGGAUUCUCUUUGGAUGAAUUUGGAUGAAAGCUCGUUUAAUUCCUCUAUUUUUAGGUUAGUAUCUUUUUAGUCACUAUAUAUUUAGAAAUACCUCAAAACAUCUCUAUUGUUAAAUUAUUGACACUCCUGCCGUUACUUUUUGUUCUUUUUAGCUUGCUUUUACAUAUUACUCUCUCGCAAUAAUGUUUAUUUUUUGGACAUUAAUAAAAAUAAAUAAAUUAUCAAUUUAAUCCCAAAAUAUUAAUGUAGAACAUUCUGCUGAGAAGUUAAUAUAUUUAUGUUUUUAUUAAUGUCCAAAAAAGUUUGUAAUUUAAUUUAUUUUACAAUAUUACUUUUUUUUACAUAUGUGAGCUUUUAGAAAAAUUAGUGUAUAUAUGUGUGUGUGUGUGUGUCAUUUUUAGGUUUAAAUUGAUAAUUUAUUUAUUUUUUAUUAAUGUCCAAAGAAAUUAUUGUAAAAGGGUAAUAUUAUAGAAGUUAAAAAGAAUAAAAAAUAAAAAGGCAGAUGUGUCAAUAGUUUAACUGGUAGUGUCGUUGAGGUGCACUAAAUUUAAAACCUUACCACUAAUAUAAAUAAUUAGUACAGAGCGAGUAAGGAUCGAUCCCACAGAGACUAUGCUAGUUGUAUUUAUUAUCAACUCUAAAGCAAGAUUUAAAAUAAAAUAAUAGUAGUAAUAAUAAUAGUAAUAAUAAUAUAAAUUAAUCUAACUAAAGAAAAUGCCAAUUAUAAAUAAAAGGGGGGAUUUAUGAAUUUUUAACUAAAUAGUAAGAAAUAAAAAAACUAAAAUUACGAACAAAAAUUUAAUAAAAACUCUAAUUAAAGGAGAAAGAAAUAAUAAUGAUAAAAACUUUAGUUAAAGGAUAAUUCGCCACCACCCAAGACAAGAAUAAACCAUGAACAUUAAUUAUAGAAGAACAUAAACAAUCUAAAUUAAAUAAAUUGAAUGAUAGAAAUUAAAAAUUAAUCAUGUGACAUAUUCGGGGUUUUGAAUUCACCCUCAACCAAAUAAAAAUCUAGCCUAACACAAUUGAAUUGGGAAUAAGAUAAUUGACAAAACCAAUCAUGGAGAUUAAUUCAAGCGACUGCCUUUGCUUUAAUUUAAUUCCGACUGCUGAUUUUUUUCUUCUCCUUGCGGCUGCUGAUUUUCCUCUGCCCGAAUUGCGUCUGCCCUCUUCUCUCUCGCUCUCUGGCAGCUCUCCUUUUAUAAUGCUAGUCGACCAAAUUCUUCUCCAACAAUUCUAAAGAAAUCAUUUUUCAAUUCUAAUUGAAAUCCUUUUCCAAUUUAACGCCACCAAAAGCCAUUAAUUCCAUCUUUUGAAAGUCAAUUGCGGGCCCAUUUAAAUUGCUUUCCACUUUUGCAAUGCCAUGCACGUGCACUCCAAUUGCCAAUUGGAAAAAUUAAAUCUUUUAAUUAUUCAACAUUUCUCAAUUGGAUUAAUUGCUUUGAUUUCUUCCACUCGGUUCUAUCAAUUCUUGACUAUAUUUUUGUCUUCCAAUUUAAUCUUUAUUCCUUUUCAAUUUGAAUUUCUUCAUGCUUUGAUUUCUUCCACUCGGUUCUAUCAAUUCUUGACUAUAUUUUUGUCUUCCAAUUUAAUCUUUAUUCCUUUUCAAUUUGAAUUUCUUCAUGCCUUUUUUAUCCACAAUCUCCAAUUAAUUCCCUAUUCAAUAAAAUCAACUAAAAGAACUAGAAUAUUUAAGAUCAAAACAAGAAAAAGAUGGAGAAAUUAAUAACAAAAUAUAUGGAAAAUAUGCACUUAUCAUUAAUUGCAUGGAGUUUUGAUGUAUUCUUAAAAAUAUAAGUUACUAACCUCAAAAUAUAGGGAUUAAAAGAGUUUUUACGUAUUCUUUUCAAUACACUCUGACUUGUAUUCUGUAUGUUUCUGUUCACUGUAGGACCAUUAUAAAGAAAUAUCAACAUCGUUGAUUAUUCUAAACACAUGGAUUGGCAGGUUAGAAUUCCCUCAUGAAAAAUAUGACUACUUUUUGCGUUCUGGUUUGGGUUCAUGGUUCCUUUUCUUCAUUCUUAAUUUUUAUGACUUCCACAAUAAAUUUCGCUAGUUGAAAUAAUAUUAAAUUGUACAACAUACACACACACACACAUAUGUAUAUUGCUUAUUACUUCGGAGUACUUAGGAUAUUUUCUUGUAUGGGUUGAUCUUAACAUAAUUCUAAAGUGUUUUUAGUUACUGCAAGAAAUUGAACGAAUUAAACUAAAAAAAUAAAAGAAAUAAAUAUUAUGUAGUUUUCAUUUUGAGAUAUAUUAUAAUGAAAGGAUCAUCUACUUGUGUUAGCUUUGUUUAGUUUUAAAAAUCUCAUGUCACUUAAAGUCAUGUAUAUUAUUAGCCAUUUAUACUUUCUCUUGUUUUUAUAUUCAUAAUAAUCCUCCAAAUGCACAUUAUUGUAUUUGUCAACAUGCUUCAAGAAAAUAAGGUCAAGGCAACAUGAUUAUAACAACGUGUUAGAGUGUUCUAUUUGCAACAUGAUUAUAACAACGUGCUAGAGUGUUCUAUUUAUUUAAUGUCAAGAAAAGUAGCUGCUAAAUUCUAGAAGCAGCCCAUUUUGGACAAAGAAAAAUCAAAGAGGGCUGCAGCAUCUUUGAAGAAGUAAAAUUGGCGGCACACGGUUUUGACGUUGAAGAAGCCAAAAUGUAAGAAAAAUGGUGGUGUUGUAGCAAAUUUUGACAAGAAAAAUAAAUAAAAUAAUAGCCAAUUUUGGCUAUAAAAAGAGAGCUCCCCAUUUGGUUUUGGCAUCUAAUUUCUUUAUCUCAUUUUCUUCUUCCUUAUAGAGAGCUAAGAAUUGAGAGUAUAGAGUUUUAAUAACUCAUGUGUUUUAAUAACUCUUGUGUUAGUAGUGAUUUGAGAGUUUGAGUUUAUUGGUGUUUGGGUAGUGAGUUAAAAUAUUACAAUACUUGUAAUUGCUUUUCACUAGUAAAAUAUUUUCCUUCUAUUUUCGCCCGUGGACGUGGGCUAAAACUGAACCACAUAAUUUUUUGUGUCCUCUGUGUGUGUUUGUUCUUCAUUUUCCUCCAAUUUCAUUUUAGUUGUGCCCCUGCUUCAACCAUAGAUUUUCUAACACUAAUAUCAAAGCUACUGGUUGUAUUUUUAGAGUCGCAGUAUUAUUUCACAUAUAUAGUAUUCUCGUGAAAUGGUGGGAGCCAAUCCUAACUAAAGUAGUUCAUUGUAAAAAGUGAUGACGGUAAAAUACGAAAUUAAGAAGUUCAGCGAAAAUAAUUUCUCGUUGUAGAAAAUGAAGAUGAAGGUUGUAUUGAGGAAAACUAAUUACUUGGCAGCAAUUAGAGAAAGACCCACGAAUAUAACUGAUGACAAGUGGAAUGAGAUGGACGGCAAUGUAAUUGCUUAUCUACACCUGGCACUUGCAGAUGGGAUGUUAUCUAGUAUGGCAGAGAAAAAGAUAGCUAAGGAAAGAUGGGAUACUCUUACAAAAUUGUACGAGGUCAAGUCACUGCACAACAUGAUCUUCUUAAAGUAGAGAUUUUAUCCUCUUCGAGUAGCGGAAUCUACAUCGGUGACCAACCAUAUCAACACAUUGAAGACUCUAUUUUCACAUAUCAACUCAUCAUUAAUCUGACAAACAACAACCAAGCAGACAGUCUAGCUUUCGAUGAUGUUGCAACCUCCAUAUUAAAUGAGAGCAGGCGGAAAAAUAAGGAAGAUAGGCAAGCAAGUUCGCAACAAGCAGAAGUACUAUCGGUGACAAGAGAGAGACCAACGGAACGUGGUCCCAAUGGGAGUUACAAUCAUGGUAGAUCAAAAUCAAGAAGUAAGAAUAAUGUCAAAUGCUACAAUUGUGGUAAGAAAGGGCAUGUCAAAAAAGAUUAUUGGAACAACCAGAAGAGAUGAGAGGGUAUAGUUCUUGUAUCAUCAAAUGCUCAGGGAUGUGUAGUAAGUACCUUAAAUGAUGGCGAAAUUCUCUACAGCAAGGCAACAACUAUUUCAAAAGACAGAAAACAACUAUAUAAUGUCUGGCUUAUAGAAUUGGGAGCUACCUAACAUAUGAACUCUUGGAGAGAGUUGUUCCACUGUUAAAAUAAAAAUGUUUGAUGGUACAGUUCGCGCAAUUAAGGAUGUACGACACGUCAAUGGCCUAAAUCAAAAUCUAUUAUCCUUAGUACAAAUAGAUAGUCAUGGGUACAAAACUCAUGUGGAAAAUAUGAUCAUGAAGAUAGUUAAGGGCGCACUUGUAUUAAUGAAGGCAGAAAUGAUUGGUGUUAAUUUAUUCAUGCUUAAAGGAAAAACACUACAGAAAGUUGAUGCGUGUGUCGCAUCAAAUGGAGAAGAGUGACGAUGAUGUGACAUUUCAAGCCUAGCCAAAUGUCAGAAUAAGGUUUGAAGAUUUUCUCUGAGCAAAAAUUGCUUCCAGGUCUCAAAUUGGUAAACUUACCAUUUUGGGAGCAUUGUGUUAGAAAUAAGCAGCAUAAAUUGAAGUUAAGCAGAUCUGUUGCUAGAAGUAAAUGUAUUCUAGACUUGGUUCAUUAUGAUAUUUAGGAAUCACCAGAUAUGUCCAUGGGAGGUGCAAAGUACUUGUUGACUUUUAUUGAUGAUUAUUUCAAGAGAUGUUGGGUGUAUGUAAUCAAGAAAACAUCAGAUGUGUUUCUGGUAUUCAAAUGGUACAAAGCGCUGGUAGAACUUGAAUUCAAAAAGAGGAUAAAGUGCUUGAUGACAAAUAACGGUGGAGCGUAUACAAAUGACAAGUUUAUUGCAUAAAAUAAGCAAAAAGAUUUUCAGAAGCAGUUCACAGUGGCAUACACUUCCCAACAUAAUAGUGGCAGAGCGGAUGAACAAACUUUUAUAGAAAUAAUAAGAGAUAUGUUGAGGACUGUUGGUCUACCCAACUUAUUUUGGGCAGAAGCAGCCAAAACUGUUUGUUAUAUAGUAAAUUGGUCGACAUCCACAGCAAUUAGGUUAAAGACAUUGAUGGAGAUGUGGACAAGAAAGCUAGUUGAUUACUCUCACCUACAUAUAUUUGAAUGUCCUGUGUACGUGAUGUACAAUGCCCAAGAAAAAAUAAAGUUGGAUCUAAAAUUUAUAUGGUGUAUCUUCUUGGGGUAUGCUAAUGGAGUAAAUUGUAUUAUCUGUAGGACCCCACUGCCCACAAGAUAGUCAUCAGCAGAGAUGUUAUCUUUAUAGAUGAUCAACUACAAAGAGAGAUAAGGAUGAUAGCACUGUAAAAGAAAAGUCAAAGACUGUGCUGGUAUAUGUUGAAAAUAAUCUGGAAAAAAAGAUUCAGAUUCUUCUGAAGCAACACCAAAGCACGAUAAACAAUAACCAGUUGAGUCCGAGGCUCGAGAAGUUCGUUAGUUAACUCGUGAGAGACGAUCGCCAAUGUGGCACUUAAAUUAUGUCACAAAGAUCAAUGUUGCAUGCCGUCUUCUGAUAGAGGAUAGAGAACCAUAAACUUUCUAUGAAACUUUAAGUAACUCAGAUUUUGCUUUGUGGAUGACAGUAAUGGAGGAAGAAAUUGAGGCUCUACACAAGAAUAAAACAUGGCAACUUGUACUACUACCAUUUGGAACAAAAACCAUUGGAAAUAAAUGGGUCUACAAGGUCAAGCGUGAUGACAAUGAAUAAAUGGAGCGGUAUUGUAAAAGAUUGGUCGUAAAAGAAAAUGCUCAUAAAGAAGGAAUUGACUUCAACGAGAUAUUUUCUCCGGUGGUUCAACUCACAACAGUCAGAUUAAUCUUGGUGAUGUGUGCUACAUUUGACCUAUAUCUAAAGCAGUUAGAUGUGAAAACUGCAUUUCUUCAUGGAGAACUUGAAAAAGAAAUUUAUAUGCUCCAACCCGAAGGUUUUGCUGAAAAGGGCGAAGAGAACUUGGUUUUCAGGUUGAAAAUUUUUCUAUACGGUCUCAAACAAGUGCCAAGGUGUUGGUAUAAGAGAUUUAAUUCCUUUAUCAUGAGCUUGGAUACAACAGACUUAGUUCAAACCAUUGUGCAUAUUACAAGAGGUUUGAAGAUAAUGAUUUCAUCAUUUUGCUAUUGUACGUAGAUGACAUGUUGGUAACAGGCCCCAACAAAGAUCAAGUCUAAGAAUUAAAAGCACAGUUGGCUAGGGAGUUUGAAAUGAAGGACCAGCAAAUAAGAUUCUAGGGAUGCAAAUUUACCGAGACAGAAAUAAUAAGAAGAUUUGGCUUUCUCAGAAGAAUUACUUGAGAAAAUCUUGCGGCACUUCAACAUACAAGAUUGUAAGCCAAUUUAUACCCCACUUCCUAUUACUUUCAAGUUAUCCUCAAAUAUAUGUCCAAGCAAUGAAGCAGAGAGUAAGGAAAUGUCUCGAGUACCAUAUGCAUCAGCAAUGGAAAGUUUAAUGUUCGCUAUGAUAUGUACAAGAAUGGACAUUGCACAAGCAAUAAAAGUAGUUAGUCGACACAUGGAGAAUGCUAGUGGAGAACAUUGGAAAAUUAUGAAGAGGAUUUUGAGAUAUAUCAGAGGAACCUCAGAUGUUGCAUUAUGUUACGGAGGAUCAGAGUUUAUUGUCAGGGGCUAAAUGAAUUCAGAUUUUACAAAAGACCUUGAUAAAAGGAAAUCCACUACUGGCUAUGUGUUUACACUUGCAGAAGGAGCUAUAAGUUGGGUUUCAAAACUACAGACCGUUGCGGUUUUAUCUACAACAGAAGUAGAAUACAUGGCAGCUACACAAGCUUGCAAGGAAACUAUUUGGAUACAAAGAUUAUUGGAGGAGCUCGGACACAAAUAAGAAAUUUUUUUUGUAUUUUGUGACAGUUAGAGUGCCUUGCAAAUUGCAAGAAAUCCAGCCUUUCAUUUCAGGACAAAGCACAAGGGGUACAAUACCACUUUGUUCGAUAAGUAGUGGAAGAUGAAAGUGUGGAUUUGCAGAAAAUUCAUACUAAAGAGAACCUAGCAGAUGUUUUACCAAGCCAAUCAAUGUUGACAAGUUUGUAUGGAGUAGAUUCGCUUGUGACCUAGCAGAGACAUAAGCAAUAUGACAAUUGAAGUGGGAGAAUGUCAAGAAAAUUAGCUGCCAAAUUUUAGAAGCAGCUCAUUUUGAACAAAGAAAAAUCAAAGAGGGCUGCAACAUCUUUGAAGAAGUACAAUUGGUGGCACACGACUUUGACAUUGAAGAAGCUGAAAUGUAAGAAAAAUGGUAGUGCUGCAGAAAAUUUUGAGAAGAAAAAUAAAUAAAUCUUGUGUUAUUAGUGAUUUGAGAGUUUGGGGGUAUUGAGGUUUUGGGUAGUGAGUUAAAAUACCACAAUACUUGUAAUUUAUUUUCACUAGUAAAAUAUUUUUCUUCUGUCUUCGUCCAUCGAUGUAGGCUAAAAACCGAACCAUGUAAUUUUUUGUGUCCUCUAUGUGUGGUUGCUCUUUAUUUUAUUCCAAUUCAUUUUAGCUGUAGUCCUGCUUCAGCCAUCGAUUUUCUAACAUUUCAUUCAUUCAAUCUGUAAAAAUCAUUUCCAUAAAAAUCUAAUCCAUGGAUUGAUGGAUUUGAUUAGAUUAAAAUUUUUUUAAAAUCCACAGUCAAUGAAUUAGAAAUAGAUUUGCUUCUACAAAUUUAUAAAAAUCAGCAAAUUAUAUAUAUAUAUAAAAUUUAAAAAUGUUAUACUAUUAAUAAAUAAAUAGGUUAAAAUUUAGUUAGGGUGGACAUUGACAACAAUUAAUUAUGUAAGCUUUCAAUUUUCAACUUUGGUAUUGAUUUAAUUUUAAAAUUUAAGUUAGUUUUCAUUCAUUGAUCUAAAACAUCAAGAUUUUUUCUUUUGGUGGGCUAAAGUUCGAAACUUUGAAUGGCAUCCUUAAAAAACAAAUGGUUUUUCAGAAGUGGUCGUGACGUGUCAUCACGUCCCAUCUAUCCUACACGGAAGUUGAAACCAAUUACUCCAGCGUUUUCAUAAUUUUUUUAAAGAAAGAAUAGGGAGUAAAGAUGAAAUGGUAUAUGGCUUCAAAAUUAUGCUUCUUUAGGAACGUACGUUGAUUGAUUUAACAGAUGCUGGGUGAUAUAUCGCGUUCCUAAACAAGUACUUAAACUAUUGAUUUAUUUAAUCUUUUUAAAUUUGAAUUUGAUUGGUAAUAAAAUUAUUUUUGUAUUAAAAUAUUUAUUUAAUUAUUUUAUAAAUAGAUAGAAAGAAAUUUUUUUUAAUUGAUAUCGAAUUCACAAAAGUGCAAUGGGAUAUAAAUUAUGUCAAAUCCACAUCAAAUUCUUAGAGUUAUGAAUUAAAUUUGGAUUAAUUUCAUUAAUUCAUGAAUUGGGUGAGAUUGAAAAUUUAUAACGAUUUUACACCUAUUGUCAUUUAUUAGAAUUUUUUCACAACGCGCUUUUGUAGGACGUUGUGAAAUUGAAAGCCCAUUGAAGAGUUUAUAACAACAUUCUUUCGUUUGUUGUCAAAUAUUAAAAUUAUUUUACAACACACUUUCACCAACCGUUGUUAAAUGGAAGUUUUCUGAAAUUUGUACAAAUUAUCACAAUCUACCGAUACAUUAAAAUCCAUUAUCUAUUUAGACAGUAGAUACAUACAUUUGUACUAUAUAGCCCGGAAAUCUGCUCCCACUAACUUUUGAGUUGACAUCUACCUGCCCAGUCUACUUUUUGUUGAUAAUCAUUUUGUAAUUUAUUAAUUUGUUUUCCGCAAAAGUACUUUAUAACUGUAACAAAUAGAAUUUCGAUGUUAGUCCUCAACAUUAAGAUAUUGUUUGCAACUUUGUAUGCCUUUUUUUCCUUAAACUUAGUUUGUAUAUUCUUAUUUCUCCAUAAAACAAGAUUUUAAUGUAAUAAAUAGAACUUUUAUUAGUAGAAUUGAAUUUAUGAAUUUCUUGUUAUUUCUGCGUGCAUUUAUUGUGUAGUUUAUAGAAAGACUCUUUAAAAAAUUUGUAUGCAGGAAAAAAAAAGAUAAAUAAAAAAAGAUUAUACAACAUUCAUCCGAAUGUAUGGAUGAUGUAUGUGUCUUCUGGUUCAAUAUUGACCUCGUUCGCACAGUAUGAUGUACGCCCCCCCACCCAAAAAAAAAAGAAUAAAAUAUCUUUGUACUAUUAAGACUUAAAAAUUAAACGCUUUCAAAACUCAGAAAAAAUGAGUAAGAAAAAUCAAUCACAUGAGCUUCUUCUCUGCCUAUAAUAACCUCGUGUAUCACCACAAACCACAGAAUAAUUUGAGAAUCUUUGCCAAGUAUAACUGUAAGCUAGCUUACACUACAUCUGUAUAUCCAAUGUCUUCUUGCAUUAAUCCCUCAACCUUGGUUACCUCUAUAAAUGGUUUCAAAUGUCUUCCUCUUGCAACAAAUAAAGCAGCCAUCAGAAUCAUGGCCAAAAAUAAGCCAGUCCAAUGCCUUGUCAGCGCCAAAUAUGAUAAUUUGACAGUUGAUAGGAGAUCAGCAAACUACCAACCUUCAAUUUGGGACCAUGAUUUUUUGCAGUCAUUGAAUAGCAACUAUACGGUAUUCAGUAUUAUUAUUAUUAUUAUUAUUAAUUUCCUUUGUUCAUUUCAAAUUGGCACCAUGAAUAACUAAAAACUAAAUGCUGUGCAUGUACAGGAUCAAACAUACAGAAGACGAGCAGAAGAGCUGAAGGGAAAAGUGAAGACAGCGAUUAAGGAUGUAACCGAGCCUCUGGAUCAGUUGGAGCUGAUUGAUAAUUUGCAAAGACUUGGAUUGGCUUAUCAUUUUGAGCCUGAGAUUCGGAACAUAUUGCGUAAUAUCCACAACCAUAAUAAAGAUUAUAAUUGGAGAAAAGAAAAUCUGUAUGCAACCUCCCUUGAAUUCAGACUACUUAGACAACAUGGCUAUCCUGUUUCUCAAGGUACCUUUCAUUAGUUCGCUUACUUUGUCAUGCACAUGCAAGAUCCGAAUACUUGAAUCGAUCUCUCUGUUUAUCUUAUUCAUUCCUUUUAAAUGUAAAAAAGUGGACAAAACCCAAAUCAAUUUUUUAACUCUCUAUCUCCUGAGAAAUUCGAACUCGACAAGGCCGCUGGGGACACUUAAAUCAUUCUCUAAUUAACAUAUAUGUGCAAAAGUUUUGAUGAAUAUAAUUUUUUUUUUUCGGUUGAGCACUGCAGAGGUUUUCAGUGGUUUUAAAGACGACAAGGGAGGCUUCAUUUGUGAUGAUUUCAAGGGAAUACUGAGCUUGCAUGAAGCCUCGUAUUACAGCUUAGAAGGAGAAAGCAUCAUGGAGGAGGCCUGGCAAUUCACCAGUAAGCAUCUUAAAGAAANNNNNNNNNNNNNNNNNNNNNNNNNNNNNNNNNNNNNNNNNNNNNNNNNNNNNNNNNNNNNNNNNNNNNNNNNNNNNNNNNNNNNNNNNNNNNNNNNNNNNNNNNNNNNNNNNNNNNNNNNNNNNNNNNNNNNNNNNNNNNNNNNNNNNNNNNNNNNNNNNNNNNNNNNNNNNNNNNNNNNNNNNNNNNNNNNNNNNNNNNNNNNNNNNNNNNNNNNNNNNNNNNNNNNNNNNNNNNNNNNNNNNNNNNNNNNNNNNNNNNNNNNNNNNNNNNNNNNNNNNNNNNNNNNNNNNNNNNNNNNNNNNNNNNNNNNNNNNNNNNNNNNNNNNNNNNNNNNNNNNNNNNNNNNNNNNNNNNNNNNNNNNNNNNNNNNNNNNNNNNNNNNNNNNNNNNNNNNNNNNNNNNNNNNNNNNNNNNNNNNNNNNNNNNNNNNNNNNNNNNNNNNNNNNNNNNNNNNNNNNNNNNNNNNNNNNNNNNNNNNNNNNNNNNNNNNNNNNNNNNNNNNNNNNNNNNNNNNNNNNNNNNNNNNNNNNNNNNNNNNNNNNNNNNNNNNNNNNNNNNNNNNNNNNNNNNNNNNNNNNNNNNNNNNNNNNNNNNNNNNNNNNNNNNNNNNNNNNNNNNNNNNNNNNNNNNNNNNNNNAAGAUUAUAAUUGGAGAAAAGAAAAUCUGUAUGCAACCUCCCUUGAAUUCAGACUACUUAGACAACAUGGCUAUCCUGUUUCUCAAGGUACAUUUCAUUAAUUCGCUUCCUUCUUCAUGCACAUGCAUGAUCUGAAUACUUGAAUCGAUCUCUUUGUUUUUUUUUUAUUAUUUAAAUGUAAAGAAAUGGACGAAACCCAAAUCAGUUUUAUAUCUCUCUAUCUCCUGAGAAUUCGAACUCGACAAGGGCGCCGCUAGGGAUACUUCAAUCGUUCUCUAAUUAACAUAUAUGUGCAAAAGUUUUGAUGAAUAUAAUUUUUUUUUUUCGGUUGAGCACUGCAGAGGUUUUCAGUGGUUUUAAAGACGACAAGGGAGGCUUCAUUUGUGAUGAUUUCAAGGGAAUACUGAGCUUGCAUGAAGCCUCGUAUUACAGCUUAGAAGGAGAAAGCAUCAUGGAGGAGGCCUGGCAAUUCACCAGUAAGCAUCUUAAAGAAACGAUGAUCAUCAGCAACAGCAAGGAAGAGUAUGUAUUUGUAGCAGAACAAGCGAAGCGUGCGCUGGAGCUCCCUCUGCAUUGGAAAGUGCCUAUGUUAGAGGCAAGGUGGUUCAUACACGUUUAUGAGAAAAGAGAGGACAAGAACCACCUUUUACUUGAGCUCGCUAAGUUGGAGUUUAACACUUUGCAGGCAAUUUACCAGGAAGAACUUAAAGACAUUUCAGGGUAUCUAUGCCUUGAUUGCAUAACUCAUAUAUAUUCCAAAGAUUUGAUUUUAUCGAAUAGAUAACUUGUACUAUUUAAUCAUAUGUAUAUUAAAUUAUUCUCAAGUGCAGACUCCGCCUUUUACAACAGUAUAAAGGCGCCAGCCUACACUUUAUAUAAUUGUAUAUUAAAUUAUGCCAAACGUUUGCAUUAAAGAAUCUCGAACUAGAAGAUGACUCUAUAUGUAAAUGCAUUGUAAAGCCACAAGUCAUGUGCUUUAUAAAAAGAGAUGCUUGUAUCAGAGAAAUAUUCUUCAGAAUUCCAGACAGAAAGCUGAUUCUAUAUAUACAGAUAUAUAAAACAUUUGUCGUAAUAUUCGUUUUAAUUUUCCUAUGAAGGUGGUGGAAGGAUACAGCCCUUGGAGAGAAAUUGAGCUUUGCGAGGAACAGGUUGGUAGCGUCCUUCUUAUGGAGCAUGGGGAUCGCGUUUGAGCCUCAAUUCGCCUACUGCAGGAGAGUGCUCACAAUCUCGAUAGCCCUAAUUACAGUGAUUGAUGACAUUUAUGAUGUCUAUGGAACAUUGGAUGAACUUGAGAUAUUCACUGAUGCUGUUGCGAGGUUUGUUGGCAAAUUAACAAUUCAACUGCUACUUAGCUGCAUGGUACUUCUCAAUUUAAUAGACCGUUUAUGUGAUUUUUUUUUUUUUUCUGCAGGUGGGACAUCAAUUAUGCUUUGAAGCACCUUCCGGGAUAUAUGAAAAUGUGUUUUCUUGCGCUUUACAACUUUGUUAAUGAAUUUGCUUAUUACGUUCUCAAACAACAGGAUUUUGAUAUGCUUCUGAGCAUAAAAAAUGCAGUACGUGAAAUAUUAAUUUGACCUCUCUCCCUGUUCCUUUCCUCUGAUUUAUCCUUUUUAAAUUACGAUGUUCUUUUUUUCUCAAAAAUUAUAAACCGUAACUAGUUGUAUAUUUUCUGUGCCAUGUGCAUCAGUGGCUUGGCUUAAUACAAGCCUACUUGGUGGAGGCGAAAUGGUACCAUAGCAAGUACACACCGAAACUGGAAGAAUACUUGGAAAAUGGAUUGGUGUCAAUAACGGGCCCUUUAAUUAUAGCGAUUUCAUAUCUUUCUGGUACAAAUCCAAUCAUUAAGAAGGAACUGGAAUUUCUAGAAAGUAAUCCAGAUAUAGUUCACUGGUCAUCCAAGAUUUUCCGUCUGCAAGAUGAUUUGGGAACUUCAUCGGUAUGUCUUUUUUUAUUUAUUUUUUUUAAGACGACAGAAAUUGAAUUGAUCCUCUAUAUAUGAAUUGAUUGUAUUUUUUUUUUCCCCGAUAAUCAUCAGGACGAGAUACAGAGAGGGGAUGUACCGAAAUCAAUCCAGUGUUACAUGCAUGAAACUGGUGCCUCGGAGGAAGUUGCUCGUGAACACAUCAAGGAUAUGAUGAGACAGAUGUGGAAGAAGGUGAAUGCAUACACAGCGGAUAAAGACUCUCCCUUGACUCGAACAACUACUGAGUUCCUCUUGAAUCUUGUGAGAAUGUCCCAUUUUAUGUAUCUACAUGGAGAUGGGCAUGGUGUUCAAAACCAAGAGACUAUCGAUGUCGGUUUUACAUUGCUUUUUCAGCCCAUUCCCUUGGAGGACAAAGACAUGGCUUUCACAGCAUCUCCUGGCACCAAAGGCUGAUGAUGAAUUAUAAUGCACGAUGCGUUGCGAAUUCCCAGAGAGUGCAGUUUCAGUUGAUGUUGGCCUCCGCUUUUCUUUCUUCUGAGGGAUCUCUUUUCGAUAAUAAAAUAAAUUCCCUCAUUCAUCAAGGUUUAUAAAUGAAAAAGAAAUGAUAUAUACAUAUAUGUUACUUUUAUUGAGAAUAAAAGUCUUCAGGAUAUGCAAAUACUUAAGUCAGGCUCAUUCUAAUUCCUACAAGAUAAUUAUUUGCUAGCUAAAACAUGAGAACGACUGAAUUUGUUCUGCAUGCAGUUAUACUUGAUUAUUCAAGGAUGGUUCAUAGCAUUUUUAGCACAAGGGAUACUUUCAGUAUCCAUGCAUACGGCAAAUCAUACUCAUGAAAAAUGGCAAUGUGCAGCUAACAGUGACAAACGCAAUCCGCAGUCUGUUAAAUGAGGAUAGAAAUAAGAGCGGUGGCAUUUAAAGAAAAAAGUUACAAGAAUCAAAAAGUAAAAAUAACCAAUUAAAAAAAAAUGAGUUCCUAAUGUGAGGAAAGAUUGAAAUGGAGAAAAACCCUAAUCCACCUAUGGCUGACGACCGUUCCACAAAGAAAGCAGAUUUAAGGCUCAAGGGGAAGAUGGUGACAAUCCUCAGCCUCCUUCCUUUCGUGAUAAACUGAUGUCAACACAAAGGGUGGAUGAAGGAGUGUUUUUUGAUAGCGGGGAAUAUUUGGCAGUUGAACCGGAAGAUGUGGUUUUUGAGUGUGCAGACAAUUUUCACUCCAUUUCUUUCUCACAGAAAAGUACAUGCUCAACUAAUGAAACCAUGGCAAUACACGGUGGUGGUCAAGCUUUUGGGUCGUCGCAUAGGUUACCGGACGCUGUGCAACCGCUUGGAAACCAUCUGGAGCUCGACCCAAGGGUUUUCUGUAAUUGACCUUGAGAAUGAUUAUUAUCUUGUUCGUUUCAGAACAGAGAGGGAUGUGGAGUUCGCUUUGACGCAAGGCCCUUAGGCUCCGUUUGGUACAACUUAUUAAAUAGAGCUUAUAACAGUAGAGUUUAUAGCAGUAGAGCUUAUACCAAUAGAGCUUUUGGACAAAAAGUCAUUGGGUGUUUGGUUGUCAAUAAAAAAAGUACUUUUGAAUCAUUAAAUUGUGUGAUAUUUUUUAUAUUAUAUAAUUUGUGGAAAAGCUCCCUAACUUCUACUCCCAAAAUCUCAAAUUUUGGGCUUUUGCUAGUAGAGGUAAAUUAGCUUAUUUAAGCUAAAAAAACUCUACUAAAAAAAUAACCAAACACCAUAAAAAUUUUAAAAAAGUGCUUAUGCGAUUAAAUAAGCACUUAUGCCUCUUAAAUAAGCCAUACCAAAUAGGCACUUAGACUAUUCUGGGGCACUAUCUAACAGUGAAGCCAUGGACUCCCCAUUUUGAUAUUUCGGCAGCAGUGAUUGAAUAUGUUAUAGCCUGGAUCUGCUUACCAGGCAUGGCCCUACAUUACUACAAUAAGAAAAUUCUCCGAAUGUUGGGACAAAUUUUCGGGAGAGUUUUUAAAACUGAUUACAACACUGAAUCCGCAUCCAGAGACAAAUUUGGUCGUCUUGCUGUUGAAAUUGAUCCAAACAAGCCCUUAAUUUCUCAAUUUUUUCUGGAUGGCAAGCUACAAAAGGUGGAAUAUGAAGGACUCCCUAAUACUUCCUUCCUAUGUGGUAAAUAUGGCCAUAGCAAGGACAUCUGCCCUAAUCGAACGGAAGAAGAUCAUGCCUUAGGAUUCCAGCCACAUUUGGACGGAGCUAAUGAAUCUGUUGAAAUGAACUCAAACUUGGUAAACGAUUUGUCGUUUAGAGGUUUAAAAAGUCAAGUGACAUGUUGUUUCAAUUGGUCAUGGAUCCAGAACCGACAACUUCGUGCUGUCGUCCAAGAUCAUUAAACUCUCACGUGAUUAACAUAAACUUGUUUUAAAGCUUAAACGACAUGCCUUAUCGUCGUUUAAGGCAGGCUUUAAGUUGCUUGUGGUCAAGAAGUUAAGUUUGUUAGUUUUGGAGGGAAUCUUUUGGAUCUGUAACGCCAGUAGCAGCUGAUAUAUAUGUUGGUUAUGAUUUCAUCUAGAUCUAUCGAAUUGAGAGUGAUAAGGAAGCCUUAGAGAGAGUGGAACUUUUCUGAGUGUUCUCUAUAUUGGGCUUAUCAUCUCUGUAACCUUUGAAGCUUAAUAAAGUGGCUCCCUGAGUUUAUUUUCCCCGAUGAAUGUAGGCAAUGUAACAAGUGCUGAAUCACUUAAAUUGUUUUGUGUUUUUGAUUCUUUGUGUUGUUAUUCUUUGAUCUGGUGAGUGUUACGACUUGUGUUGAUUUGUUUCUUAAUCUUGGAGUCCUAACUAGAUCUAGGGGGCAAGAUCAAUUCGAUAUCAAAGGGUUUGUUUCACAACAGAAUCAUCGGUGCAGGACGUCAGGGAGGGAUAUGGGAAUUUGCCUAGGUUUGGUGGAACACCCUAAAAAUUACCCAUGAAAACACAAGGGUAAAAUUGGAAUGAAACCUCAUAUCAUUUAUUUUUAUUAAUAAAUCUCAAGAUAGACAAUCAUUAUUCAUACUCCAACUGAAUCCUUAUAUAAAACAUCUGAAAUAAAGUCUCCAAAGAAAAAUCUCUAAUCCAAAAUAAAAAGUUCAGCCAAAUUUAAUCUUUAAAGCAACUCUAAAGAUCCACUAAGAAAAAUUCUUCAUCUAAGCACCUAAGCCACAUUUCUAAUCAAAUCUGCAAAAUAUUGGAGAUGAGGAGUGAGCUGUCAACUCGGUAAGCAAAUCCAUGCACAAUAUUUGAAAACCUUUGUCAUAUAUCUUUAAACAUUUUAUAACAACAUCUUCAUUUAGCAUAAGAGGUGGAUUCAUGUAAAAGUAUUAAAAACAUUAAAACAUUCAUAAAAAAGAUUAAAACAUAAAUAUUUGGUAGCUUAUGCCUCGUAGUCAUCAUCAUUCAUCAUUCAUCAUUCGUCAGUUAGGGUGUUAUACCCCGUAUUGUUCCUCAUUCAGGGUACUAUACCCCGCAUUGUUCAUAAUAUCCUUGUGCACAAGAUCAUCACCAUACCAGCAAGCUGGCCAUAACAUUACAUAACAUCAUAACAUUUGUAUUGUAUACAUUACUACGGACUAUGAGCUAAAACAUUUUUUAAUCCACCUUACAUCCUUUCAUAAAUAGCAUUUAAAGUCUUCUAAAACAUUUAAGAACCUUUCUUUGAUCAUUUAAUUCUUUUAGAAAAUUCUUUAAGAAAACAUUUUGUUUAAGAAAACUAAUUUCUUAAGAAAAAUUUAUUUUAAAACACAUUUUUAUAAAUUCAUUUAAAAGUGUUUUUAUUUUACAAAAUUCAUUUAAAUAUUUUAGAAAUCAAUUUUUCUAAAAAUCUCCAUUUAAACAUAAUUCUUAUAACAUAAAUUGCAUUUAUUAUAAAGCACAUCAUGCGUGAAUCUACUUACCUCAAUCCGCAGCAAUCAACCCAAUACCUUAAGAACAAACCAACGAGCUCACCCACAUCCUAUAAUCAUAAUAAAAAUAUCUUUAUCAAUAUAAUCUCUAACCUUAAACAUAAUUUCAAUCAUCCUUAAUUCAUAGGCACUUAUACUAGCUCAAUACUUAUUCAUAUUCUAGACAUAAGUAUGAGUAUCUUGCACAUGCUGAUUUUUAAUAACCUAUACACAUGUCGGAAAAUCAUGAAAAUUUACAGAGGCACUGUGAACAUGCAUAACAUUGCAUACAAUAUUUCACAAAGAUCAGCACAAGUCAAAAUCAAGUCAGAAUAUUGACCUUUCACCAAAGUAACAAAAUUGUCCAGCAUUGACCAAAGCAAACCUUUACCACUUAGGAAAUUCAUAAAAUAUUCUUUAGUAAUUGAAAUAAUAUGUUUCUUUUUUUCUAAUUACAGAAGACACAUUCAGAAAGCAUAUAAUUAAAAUUCAUAAUUUUUGCAUAUAAUUAAAAUUCAUAAAAUUUGGACUCCUGAAACUAUUUUAAAAUGUUUUAUUUUCCGAGAACAUUUAACCCGUCCAGAAAAUUCCAGAUUUGAAAACAGAAUUUCAAAAAUUCGUAUCUUUUAUUUUACAUGCCCAAAAAUAGUGAUUCCAGUUUUUAAAGACAGAGGAAAGAUUGAAAUUUCAUUGUAAAAUCCUAACAUGGCAUGUAAUAUUCAUAAAUUAGCCCAACUGUUACACGUCUCAGCUUCUGCAAUUCUGGAAAACAGUUUCCAGAUUUGCAGCAGCCACAUGUUACGAUUUUUAAUAAUUUAACCAUAAAGAAAAAAACUACGAAAUUAAACAUGUAAGCAUAGGAGACAUAGAUCUGUUGAUACAAAAAUCGCCAUAAUUUUUAAGGAUGUGUAACCUUACAGAAAAAUUUCCAGAAUUGAGAACCACUGCUGAAAAUCGGAAUUUUCCAGCACCAGUAACCCAACUUCGAAAACCCAUAACAAUUUGCAUACUCAGACGAUUUCAACACAAAACCUAUCAAUGGAAAGCUUAGGAUGUCUAGUUCCAUGAUAUUUAAGCAUAUUCACGUGAUUCUAAGUGAAGAAAACAAUUUCAAGCAAGGAAUAGAGACUGUUCAUAUCAUCACAACAUUACAAAUACACAUAUAUUAUCCAAAUCAUACUACAAGUAAUUAAAGGCAAACAAUUCAUAAAAAUAAAUCAUAUAAGUCAAAGAAAUACUUAAUACCUUAAGGCAAACACUAAGAAAAGAAGUUAUAAAACUUUCUUUUCCUGCUCCAAAGACUUAUGUUUCUUUUUUUUUUUAAGGGUUUGUAAGGGUGUAAAAAAAUAAAAGACGACUUCUUAGCACAGGAGAUUGGAGACCGAUCAAAUUGGCUUGCAAUGGUACCCCUCUGACACAUUUGUUUUUUUGCUGAUGACCUAUUGUUGCUUGCUGAGGCGGCAUCUGGGCAAGCCAGGGUAAUUAACACAGUCUUUGAGAAUUUUUGUAAUAGCUCUGAGGCGAAGGUUAAUAAGACCAAAACUCAAGUAUUUUUUUCAAAGAACAUUAGUGAGAAGGAGAGGAACCGUAUUGGGAAAAUGCUUGGUUUCACUAUUACUAAAGAUCUUGGCAAGUAUCUUGGCAUGCCGCUUCUUCACUCCCGGGUUUCUAAGAGUACUUACUAAGAUAUUCUUGAUAAAAUGGAACAAAGGCUCUCUGGAUGGAAUGUUUCCCACUUAUCCUUGGCUCGCCGGAUUACGAUAGCCCAAUCUAUUUUGCAAGCUCUCCCUAUUUAUGCAAUGCAGUCAACCGACCUUCCUGCCGGGAUAAAACUGAAGAUAGACCAAGCAUGCAAGCGUUUCAUAUGGAGUGGUACUGUAACUUCUCAAAAACUAAGUAUGGUAAGUUGGAAUAAUAUUUGUCAGCAUAAAAUUAAUGGCGGUUUAGGCUUCAAAAGUCUGGAUGGGAUGAAUAAGUCCUUUCUCAUGAAGGUUGGUUGGGGUAUUCUUUCAUCUCCUUCAAGUCUAUGGUCUCAGGUUUUGUCAACUAAAUAUGGGGUGGAUUUAUCUGUCCUUCCUACUUAAUUGCCGUGUAGAAAUGGCUCCCACUUGUGGUAGUCGAUUGGGAAGGUUUGGACUGACGUUCUCUCAGGUGUUGCUUGGAAUAUAGGUGAUGGCACUAAAGUCUGAUUUUGGUUUGAUCGUUGGGUGAUAAAAGAAAAACCUCUGAUUUCUGAAGCUCUUUGUCCGAUACCCAAUGACAUAAUCUACAUUGUAGUGGCUAAUUUCAUAGAUAGUAAUAGUAGUUAGUGGUGGGAGCUGUUUCAACGUUAUCUACCUAAUAACAUUAUUCUGCAGAUAGCCUCUUGUGUUCUCCCUUUAGCUCAGUGUGGAAAUGACUGCUUUUAUUGGGUGAACUCUAAAAAUGGAGAUUUUUUCGGUUAAAUCCGCCUACCAUGCCAUUAGUUCCCAACGGUAUCAAGCGGAAGACAGAAUUUGGAACUUGGUGUGGCAUUGGCAGGGGCCCCAUAAUAUGAUCGCAGUGGUGUGGGAUAUCGUGAUGAUCGUUCUAGGAGUGUCCAGCAGACUUCUUGCCCUUUAUGUGGCAGGAAUCAUUAGAGCUAGUGUCGUGUUGGAGAUAGAGUUUGUUAUUUGUGUGGUCAGUUUGGACACAUCAGGAGAUUCUGCCCUACUUUAUCUAAGGGUGAUAGCUCUGCCGGAGGGACAGCCUCACGGUAUCGGCCUUAUUCUGGCCAGACUCAGGGUCAGAAAGGAGUUCAGAUAGGAGGUUCUACAUCUACCUUUAGGAGUCAGACGACUGCUCUAGGUCAGAGAGGUUAGCCUGGUCGACCUCAUACUCAGGCUCGAGUUUUUUCUUUGACGCAGCAGGAGGCACGUGCUGCACCAGAAGUUAUUAUAGGUAUAUUAUCUAUCCUUGGCCGCGAGGCUCAAAUUCUUGUUGAUCCUGGAUCCACACACUCUUUUAUUUCUCGUACUUUUGCUAUGCACAUAGCGCGAGAGCCCGAACUGCUAGAUUGUGGUUUAGUUGUUCGUACACCUACUGGAGAGUCAUUACUUACUGAGAGUGUUUAUCGAGAUUGUAUGAUGGAAUAGGUGAACAUGAAUUUGAGGCGAGUUUGAUUUCCUUAGACAUUCAUGACUUUGAUGCUAUUUUGGGCAUGGAUUGGCUUAAAUCUCAUUAUGCUACGGUGGAUUGUUUCAAAAAGGAAGUUGUGUUUAAAGAGUCAGGGAAAACUAAAGUGAAAUUCUGUGGAGAGCACAAAGUUCUACCUUCAUGUGUUAUAUCUUCCAUUAGUGCAAGACGAUUGCUAAGAAAAGGAUGCUCAACUUAUUCAGCUAAUGUGAUAGAUACAGAAGCUCGAGAAUUGAGAUUAGAGGAUAUUGCAGUAGUCAAAGAAUUUCCAGAUGAACUUCUUGGGAUGCCACAUAACAGGGAAGUCGAGUUUUCUAUUGAUUUAGUCCCUGGAACAUCUCCUAUAUCUAUGGCACCAUACAUGAGGGCUCUAGCAGAAUUGAAGGAACUAAAGGUUCAAUUGCAAGAGUUGGUGGAGAAAGGGUUUAUUAGACCUAGUGUGUCCCCGUGGGGAGCUCCAGUCUUGUUUGUUAAGAAAAAGGAUGGGACUUUUAUACUCUGCAUCGACUACAGGCAAUUGAAAAAAGUUACGGUACACAAUAAGUAUCCACUUCCGCAUAUUGAUGACUUGUUUGAUCAACUCCAGGAGGCGAAGGUGUUUUCUAAGAUCAAUUUGCGCUCGGGUUACCAUCAGCUUAGAAUUAAAGAUGUCGACGUUCCUAAAACAACAUUUAAAACCCGUUAUGGGCACUAUGAGUUCUUGGUGAUGCCAUUCAGAUUGACAAAUGCUCCAGCAGCCUUUAUGGAUAUCAUGAAUAAGGUAUUUCGUCCGUACUUGGAUCGGUUUGUGAUUGUAUUCAUUGAUGAUAUCUUGGUGUAUUCCUGAAGCGAGGAGGUGUAUGCAGAGCAUUUGCGGACUAUUUUGCAGACUUUGAGAGAGAAGUAAUUAUAUGCCAAGUUCAGCAAAUGCGAGUUCUGGUUGGAUAGAGUAGUAUUUUUUGGCCAUGUGAUAUCAGCAGAAGGUAUUUAUGUUGAUUCUCAAAAGAUUGAAGUAGCUGUGAAAUGGGAACGGCCUACAAAUGUCACAGAGGUUUGGAGUUUUCUUGGAUUGGCUGGUUAUUAUCGUCGAUUUGUGGAGGGAUUCUCUAAGAUUGCUACUCCUCUGACAUAGUUAACCAAAAAGAAUGCUAAGCUCCAGUCGGAUGAUAACUAUGAGAAGAGUUUUCAAGAACUUAAGACAUGUUUAACCUCAGCACCAGUUCUUACACUUUCAUCUGGUAAUGAAGGAUUUGUGGUUUAAAGUGAUACCUCUAAGGAGGGAUUGGGUUGUGUGUUGAUGCAGCAUGUGAAAGUGGUGGCUUAUGCUUCUAGACAACUUAAAAAGCAUGACCUAGAACUAGCAGCAGUGGUGUUUGCACUCAAGACAUGGAGGCAUUACUUAUAUGGGGCAACAUGUUAGAUUUUCACUAAUCAUAAAAGUCUGAAGUAUUUGUUUACUCAGAAGGAAUUGAAUUUGAGACAGAGGAGAUGGAUUGAGCUAAUUAAGGACUACGAUGCACUAUUGAUUAUCAUCUGGGCAAAGCAAAUGUGGUAGCUGAUGCACUAAGUAGAAAGUCUUCUAGCUCUAUAGUUCACUUGCAAGUGAAAUAUAUGCCUCUGCUGAUCGAGUUCAGAUCUUUGGGAGUCGAGUUAAACGCUGACGAUUGUGGAACUUUGAUAGCUAAUUUUUGAGUUAGGCCGACUUUGAUUAAUAAAGUUCACCAGAUGCAAGCUCAGGACCUAUUGUUAAUGAAGUUGAAAGAGGAUGUGCAAAAAUGUUUACGAACUGAUUUUACGGUGAGAGGCGACAAAGUCUUAGUCAUGGGUAAUAGACUCGAUGUACCUAAUAUUAAAACUAUGAAAGAAGAGAUUAUGGAAGAAGCUCACUGUUCAACAUUUGCGAUGCAUCUUGGUAGUACGAAGAUGUACCACACCCUGAGAGAUCAUUACUGGUGGCAGGGCAUGAAGAGAGAGAUAACAGAAUUUGUUUCUCGAUGUUUAGUCUGUCAGCAGAUUAAAGCUGAACACCAGAGGCCUGUAGGGUGUUAUUAGCCGCUUCCUAUUCCUUAGUGGAAGUAGGAGCACAUCACUAUGAAUUUUGUAGCAGGACUUCCACGUACUCUGAAAGGACAUGAUCGUGUUUGGGUGGUUGUUGAUCGACUUACAAAAUCUGCUCACUUCUUACCAUUCAAAAUCACCUACUCGAUGGACAAAUUGGGGAGUAUUUAUGUGGCUGAGAUAGUUUGACUUCACGGAGUACCUGUGUCCAUAGUCUCAAAUAGAGAUUCCUGGUUUACUUCUAAGUUUUGGACCAGUUUGCAAAAUACUUUAGGUACCAAGUUGAACUUCAGUACAACUUUUCAUUCACAGACUGAUGGACAGUCAGAGUGCACUAUUCAAACUCUGGAGGAUAUGUUGCGAGCUUGUGUUAUGGAGUUUAAAGGUAAUUGAGAUAAUUAUUUACUUCUGAUGGAGUUUGCUUACAACAAUAACUAUCAAGCUAGUAUCGAGAUGGCACCAUAUGAGGCUUUGUAUGGUAGAAAAUGCAGGACUCCAGUAUGUUAGGAUGAGGUUGGUGAGCGGAGGUUACUCGGUCCAGAACUUGUCCAGGAUACUAACGAGAAGAUACAAUUGAUCCGGGAUAGAUUAAAGGUGGCCCAAGAUAGACAAAAGAGCUAUGCAGACAAGCGUAGGGGGGAACUUGAAUUCCAAGUUUGUGAUAGAGUUUUCAUACGGAUAUCUCCUUGGAAAGGGGUGCUUUGAUUUGGGAAACGUGGGAAGCUAAGCCUAGGUUACAUUGGGCCAUAUGAGAUCAUUGAGCGCAUCGGUCCGUUAGUUUAUCGAUUAGCUCUACCACCCGAGUUAUCCAGAAUCCACGAUGUGUUUCACGUCUCAAUGCCCCAUAAGUACAUAUAUGACCCGAGUCAUGUGUUAUCAAAGCAACUAAUUCAGUUGAAGGAAGAUUUAACUUACGAAGAGGAACCAAUGGAGAUACUGGAAGAGAAACACCAAGUUCUACAUUCUAAGACCAUUCCUCUAGUAAAAGUACGGUGGAGGAAUCAUACAAAGGAAGAGGCUACCUGGAAACAUGAGGACUUAAUGCGAGCUCAAUAUCCCCAUAUUUUCUUAUUAGGUACAUAAAUUUCGAGGAUGAAAUUUUUAUAAGAGGGGAUGAUUGCAACAAAUGUGAAUUAAAAAUGAAUAAGUAUGAGGUGGUAAAGAAGUUAGUAAAAACAAAAGAAUAAGCUGGAAACAGAGGAAACAUAUGCACGUGUAACAGAGAGUGAGAGAGAAGGUGCCAAACCGACCCAACUACAGACCCACCUUGACCCGGCCAUAUCUCCUAUUUCCGGCCACCGUUUCGGCCGAGUUUAGUACCAAUCUGAAAACCCGCGACUGUUUCGUUUUGUUCCGCCAGGAUUUUCACCGGUUUUGGGUGACACGACCAGUUGGAUUUUGUUCCUCAUGACUCCCUCUUCCAUUUUCAACUGUCCAUAGCCACUGAAAGUCACUGUUUUGCCACUGGUCAAUUAUUGGAAUUCACGGCUAUUGAGCUAGAUUCCGGCCUCGUUGCCGUGCGUUGGAGCUCACUGCUGGUACCAUUGAACUCAACGUGAUUGGAACUUUCAGAAUUGAGCUUCCCGGCCAGCGUUGACCAAACUCCGGUGACCGUUGACCGGCAAGGGCAUUUCAGUAAUUUCACACGCCGAGGGAAAUUUUGUAAUUUCUGAGCCUAUGGAUAUUUUAGUAAUUCCUAGAAUUGAGGAUUGGGUGUAAUUACGAUUCCGAGGUUAAUUCGGUGAUUUACAAUUUCUGAGUAUUUUAAUGAUUUACGGACUCGAGGGCAUUUUAGUAAUUUUAUCGACAUGGGAGUUGUAAAUUAUGGAUAGAUGUUCGUUUCGAGUGUAUUGCAUAAAUUAUGUCGUUUCCUUGAUUUAAGAGGAUCCGCGAGCGAUAAUCAGUCCACGGACAUUGACGAUAACCAAGCGCGAACACUGCACUGUGAGUGGAAUAUGCAAAACCUAUUUUCGUAGUUAAUUAUGAUAGUAAAAUAUGUUUGCGAAAUAAGUAUUUUUAAUGUUCUGAUUUAAUGAUUUCCUCGAAAUGGAUUUUAUACAUGCAUUGAUAUUAUUUUAAAAUGUUUGGUCAAUGAUUUUCCGUGUCGACUUUGAAUGAAAUAUGAUAGUAUUUUAAAGAUGAGAAAAGUGGAUUUAGAUGUGAUAAUGAAAAGAAAUGUAUGAUUUAAAGUAUGAUUAGAAUAUACAUGAAUAUAAGUAUAGAGAUUGUUUUUAAAAUCAUUCGACAGUACCCUUCCCCUCCAGAUACAGUGAUACAGAUGAGAUAAGAUGAGAGGCCUUUAGAGUCUGUCUGAGCACACAUAGAGGCUUUGGGCUGUGUGUUUGGGUGUUUCUGCCUUUUGGGGGCAUAUGCAUACGGUAUGAUGAUUACAGAGAUACAAAUAUGAGAUACAGACAGAUAUUGAGAUACAGAUGAUAAAUAUGAGAUACAAGCCUUUGGGGCCCGUCUGAGUACACACAGAGGCUUUGGGCCGUGUGCUUGGCGCUUUUGUCCUUUAGGGACUGGAUUAUGCAUGCACAGAUAUGAUGAGUUAUGAGAUGAUACUUCCCUAUCUAUCCGUGUAGCUAAGGAGCGUGACGGUACCCAGAUACGUCAUUACCCGUCCGUUGAGGUCCGGAUAUGAUGAGAUUAUUUCCCUGGGCACUUGUUUGGUGAUGAUUUUCAUUCUUGUGUAUUCUAUAUGAUAUUGUGAUAUGAUUUCCAUGAUUAUUACUGUUGUGGAAUUUCUCAAGAUCCACUGUUGUUAAACAACCAAGCUGAGCUAUCGAACCCAAUCGAUCAAGAUCAACAUUUUUUUUACCAAGAAAGUUAACUAGCUCAUUGCAAGUAAUAACCAGAAAAGAAAGAAGAUGAACAAGAAAACAAUGCACACAGUAUAACGUGGUUCAGUACCAAAGUACCUACAUCCACGACCAAAUAAACCCUUCUGGGCUUGAAGCUUUUAUUUAACAAAGUGUUUACAAUGAGAGUAUUGAUGACAAAGAUUAAAUCUCUCCUACAGAGAAUUUUCUAUCUCUCACCCUAGCUCUCUCAAAAUCGUGACUUAACCAUCCAUCUGAUCAGCCCUGAACUAUGUAUAUAUAUAUAGCUCUAUUGUCCAACUGUUAGCAGUAACAAAUUUAACUAACCCUGGCCCCACACAAAUGCUGAGUCAGCACGCCACUUAGUCACAUAACAGAAUUAACUAAUCAAGCUUCACAAAUCUCCACCUUAGUUGAUUCUGUCCCAGCUUCACCCAGCUCUGGUUCAGAUGGUUAAUAUGCUUGACUUAUAAGCUUCUAACUCCAAUCAAGUUCAGAGAGUUUCUGAACUUGACUGUUGGUAUUGGUUUUGUCAGUGCAUCUGCUGGAUUGUCUUCAGUAGAGAUCUUUACAACAUCCACUACUCCUCUUUCAAUUUCCUCUCUUAUGAAAUGUAGCCUCAAAUCCACAUGCUUGGUCCUCUCAUGAUAUUUGGAGUUUCUGCUCAACUGAAUUGCACUUGAGCUGUCA
rnacentral:lncRNA from 1 species